rnacentral:rRNA from 1 species
UACGUCUUUUUCUCUCUUUAAUCGGAAUUACUGGGCGUAAAGCGUGCGCAGGCGGUCUUGUAAGACAGAGGUGAAAUCCCCGGGCUCAACCUGGGAACGGCCUUUGUGACUGCAAGACUAGAGUACGGCAGAGGGGGAUGGAAUUCCGCGUGUAGCAGUGAAAUGCGUAGAUAUGCGGAGGAACACCAGUGGCGAAGGCGAUCCCCUGGGCCUGUACUGACGCUCAUGCACGAAAGCGUGGGGAGCAAACAGG